UACAGAGGGUGCGAGCGUUAAUCGGAAUUACUGGGCGUAAAGCGCGCGUAGGCGGCUUUGCAAGUCGAGUGUGAAAUCCCCAGGCUUAACCUGGGAACUGCAUUCGAGACUGCAUAGCUAGAGUAUGGGAGAGGGAAGUGGAAUUUCCGGUGUAGCGGUGAAAUGCGUAGAUAUCGGAAGGAACAUCAGUGGCGAAAGCGACUUCCUGGACCAAUACUGACGCUCAUGUGCGAAAGCGUGGGGAGCAAACAGG
rnacentral:rRNA from 1 species